AAGGAAAGAAAAACAGAGGGGGGGAAGACGCGCGAGGCGUAAGGAUAUAUAGGAGCCGCAAAAGGAGACUUCCACGUAGCCUAUACCCACACUCCAGAAGACCCGGCUGACCAAUUCCCUUUUGUUUGGCGAGCAUUAAAGUCACCCAGCACAGCACGUUGUUCUGCUUAAAGGCGUAUCACAACAUAGAGCGUGAACAUUUUACUCGGCAGUUUUUAAAAAAAGGAAGAUUCCUGUACAAAGACACGCAAGCUAUCCCAAAAGAAAACCGAGACUGACAGAGGCACCCUGAAUAAAAUACAUCUCUCCGCUUGCAACAAGCGAGCUUCUUUCAAAGGAAGCUCGCAGCUAAAGCUCACAAAUGCAGAAGGAAAUCACUUCAGCCCAGUGUCCUUUCUAACCCCUCCCACCUGCCAGUUUCUUCCUUAUCCCUCCACGAAACAAAAGCAUCGAGUCUCUCGUACAAGAGAAGCAGAAAGCCUUGAAAUCCACCAGCAGUGGAAGGAUUGUGCUAACUACAUCCCUGGGCGCCUGUUGAUUAUGUGUAAGCCCAAAGUUUGGAGAGAGAUGAGGUGCGGGAGGUGGAGACAUAAGCCUCGAGCUCCCCAGAGCUCUUCUCCAGAGCCAGCAUUCAGACCGUCUGGAAGCAAAUUCUUUGGACAUCAGCCACAGGGAAGUGUUGGAGAAGAGAGACUGUCAUGGCUAGAAUCAUCUAGGCAAAGUCUGAGCGAUCUAGAAUAUCUAACCCUCAAAUAAACAAACUUUCAACUCUCCCCACAGGGAUUUAAAAUUGGAAUAGGAGCCACCCCGCUCUGGUUCAAAGAUCUGCAGGGCUCUAGGUCUGAUGUGUUGCUCUAAACACUCGUUAAGUUUGAAUUACUAGGCAGGAUCUUAGACUAAGGACCCUC